rnacentral:tRNA from 1 species
UCUAAUGUGGCAGAUUAGUGCGGUGGAUUUAAGCUCCAUUUAUAAAGUUAGCUUUUGUUAGAA